rnacentral:rRNA from 1 species
AUGCCUCCCAACUCGCGGCCCCGUCUCCGCGUCGGUUUUGCCACCCGAAUGGCGAGGCAACAACGUAUGCUGGAGACAAACUCUACGGAGCAACCCUCCGAGACUGCCACCAUGGAUAGCUGCACUGAUGUGGCUGCCAGCAUCGACAGGGAUUCGGUGGAGUUGAGUUGCUAUGAGAGGAUUGCGGCCCUGGGGAGCAUCGGGGAUCAGUGCAUCUAUGCGGAUGAACUCCGGCUCCUGCUCCGGAAGAAGAAUGCUCCCAUUUGCUAUGUUUGGUUUGAGCCAACCCCCUGGAUGGACAUAACCCAGGGGCUUCUGAAGACAAUUUAUGUCAACAAGAUGCUCAAAGCUGGUUACAUAGUUAAAAUAUUGAUAGCAGAUUGGUUUGCCCAACGGAACCAUAGGAUUUGCAGCAAUAAAUAUGUAAUAAGGAAAAUUGGCUGCUACAAUAUUGAGAUGUGGAAAGCAGCUGGCAUGGAUCUUGACAGGGUAGAGCUUGUAUGGUUCUCAGAUGUGUUGGAAAGGCAUGCAUCUGAUUACUGGCCACUUGCCCUGGAUGUCUCCAAAAAAUGCACUCUAAAAAGAAUGGCAAGCUGUUGCACGGAAACAGCCCCAUAUGACCCGCGACUGCCUGCUGCUGUGAUAUUUUACCCAUGCAUGCAAGUUGCUGCUAUAUUAUGUCCGAAGUUGCAGGCGGAUAUAUGGCUCUUCAGCAUGGAUCAGCAAGAAAUUGUCAUGCUAACCAGAGAGUAUUGUGAAGACAUAAAAAGAGAAAGCAAACCAACUAUUAUGUUGCACAAUACACUACCUAAUUUAGUAGAUAAUCCUUAUAUUGUACUAAAGGACCCUUAUAACAUGAGGGAACCAAAAUGGAACAUCUUCAUGCAUGAUAAGGAGUGCGCUUUGAAUGAAAAAAUAAGCAGGGCUGUCUGUCCUCCAAAAGUAGCAGUAUGCAACCCAUGUUUGGAGUACAUCAAAUAUGUUAUCUUCCCUUGGUUUGGGAAGUUUGAGGUAGCGCAGAAGGAACAGAGUGGUGUUAACAAGCCAUUUGAAUGCAUGGAAGAUCUUAUUGUUGAUUAUGAAAGUGGCGAUCUUGAUCCUGUCGACGUUAAGUUGGCUUUUGAAAAAGGAAUAUGCAAAAUAUUAGAGGUAAUUAUUGCUUCCUUACGAGGUAGCAUCCUUGUGCCAGGUUCUCUCCUGGCGCCACCACUCUCCGUCGCUGCUGCAUUGGUCCAGGGAGGAGCAAUCUCCACUCCUGGUGGCGGCAUCGAUCUUUAUCUAGAUGUAGUGGUAGCUCGUUCCUUCUUGUCUCAUGUGGCCAUGCGUUCCUUUGGCGAGCUUCUCUCGUAUCCCUAUGGUAGCAGCAGCUUGUCUUCGUCUUCCUCGACAGCAAGGUCGUCUUCGCGGGCCAAACUGUCCGGGUUGCAGCUUUCUAACUCGUCUGGACCGCGCUGCCCGGUAUCCUCUAGGUAA